CCUACGGGAGGCAGCAGUAGGGAAUCUUUCACAAUGGGCGAAAGCCUGAUGGAGCAACGCCGCGUGCAGGAUGAAGGCCUUCGGGUUGUAAACUGCUUUUAUAAGCGAGAAAUAUGAUGGUAACUUAUGAAUAAGGAUCGGCUAACUACGUGCCAGCAGCCGCGGUAAUACGUAGGUGGCAAGCGUUAUCCGGAUUUACUGGGUGUAAAGGGCGUGUAGGCGGGAGAGCAAGUCAGAUGUGAAAUUCCAGGGCUCAACCCUGGAACUGCAUUUGAAACUGUUUUUCUUGAGUGAUGGAGAGGCAGGCGGAAUUCCGUGUGUAGCGGUGAAAUGCGUAGAUAUACGGAGGAACACCAGUGGCGAAGGCGGCCUGCUGGACAUUAACUGACGCUGAGGCGCGAAAGCGUGGGGAGCAAACAGGAUUAGAUACCCCAGUAGUC
rnacentral:rRNA from 1 species